rnacentral:rRNA from 1 species
GACGAACGCUGGCGGCGUGCCUAAUACAUGCAAGUCGAACGCUGAAGGAGGAGCUUGCUUCUCUGGAUGAGUUGCGAACGGGUGAGUAACGCGUAGGUAACCUGCCUGGUAGCGGGGGAUAACUAUUGGAAACGAUAGCUAAUACCGCAUAAUAGUAGAUGUUGCAUGACAUUUGCUUAAAAGUUGCAAUUGCAUCACUACCAGAUGGACCUGCGUUGUAUUAGCUAGUUGGUGGGGUAACGGCUCACCAAGGCGACGAUACAUAGCCGACCUGAGAGGGUGAUCGGCCACACUGGGACUGAGACACGGCCCAGACGCCUACGGGAGGCAGCAGGAGGGAAUCUUGGGCAAGGGACGGAAGUCUGACCGAGCAACGCCGCGUGAGUGAAGAAGGUUGUCGGAUCGUAAAGCUCGGUUGUAAGAGAAGAAAGAGUGUGAGAGUGGAAAGUUCACACUGUGACGGUAUCUUACCAGAAAGGGACGGCUAACUACGUG